AUACGUAGGUGACAAGCGUUAUCCGGAUUUACUGGGCGUAAAGGGCGUGUAGGCGGUCUUGCAAGUCAGAAGUGAAAUUCCUGAGCUCAACUCGGGCGCUGCUUCUGAAACUGCAGGACUUGAGUGCUGGAGGGGAUAGCGGAAUUCCUAGUGGAGCGGUAAAAUGCGCAGAUAUUAGGAAGAACACCGGUGGCGAAGGCGGCUAUCUGGACAGUAACUGACGGUGUGGCGCGAAAGCGUGGGGAGCAAACAGGAUUGGAUUCCCUGGUAGUCCACGCCGUAAACGAUGAAUACUAGGUGUAGGGGGUAUCGACUCCCUCUGUGCCGCAGUUAACACAAUAAGUAUUCCGCCUGGGGAGUACGGCCGCAAGGUUGAAACUCAAAUGAAUUGACGGGG
rnacentral:rRNA from 1 species